rnacentral:rRNA from 1 species
UGCAAGUCGAACGGCAGCACGGGGGGCAACCCUGGUGGCGAGUGGCGAACGGGUGAGUAAUACAUCGGAACGUGUCCUGUAGUGGGGGAUAGCCCGGCGAAAGCCGGAUUAAUACCGCAUACGAUCUGCGGAUGAAAGCGGGGGCUCCUUCGGGACCUCGCGCUGCAGGGGCGCCCGAUGGCAGAUUAGCUAGUUGGUGGGGUAAAGGCCUACCAGGGCGACGAUCUGUAUCUGGUCUGAGAAGACGACCAGCCACAGUGGGACUGACACACGGCCCAGACUCCUACGGGAGGCAGCAGUGGGGAAUUUUGGACAGUGGGCGAAAGCCUGAUCCAGCAGUGCCGCGUGUGUGAAGAAGGCCUUCGGUUUGUAAAGCACUUUUGUCCGGAAAGAAAACCUCGUGGUUAAUACGUGAGGGAUAUGACGGUACCGGAAGAAUAAGCACCGGCUAACUACGUGCCAGCACCCGCGGUAAUACGUAGGGUGCAAGCGUUACUCGGA